CAAAUAGAGCCGAGAUUCAAAAUGCUUCUUGUCUGAUCCAUGGACCUUCCUCUUCAUUAGGAGGACACCCUAAGCUACUACUAAGCUCCACAAAGGACCCCACGCCACAGCCUGUCCUUGGAAGUUUCUCCUUUCCCUUCUUUCUUGUGGGUGCCUCUCCCCUCCAGUACAGAGUUAUUGCAGAUGGGGCGGAGGAACAUGUUCCAGGAGACUAAUUAGAGGUGAAGCCUUUCCAGUCCUGGCUGUGUGAUAUUGGCAGUCUUCCCUGAUACAUCAGUCUUCUCUUCGGGAUGAAAAUCAAGAUUGGAGGCAGCACACUAGACUGGAAACAUCCUUCCAGAACUUUCUGAGGCUGGUUGGCUGAUGGCAGGUGCCCUGGGCCUGCACCCAGAGCCGGUUCCU